ACCUACCUAUAUAACGAACUAGUGUGUGCCUAUGUAUCAAAUACAGAGUUAUAGCCGGCAAGACAAGACGCGAUGAGUUGAUUAAUGUAGUGUGUUUUUCGUUUUUAAAUUUGUAAUAAUGUUUUGAUGAAGACAAUUUUAAAAGAAUAUUUCGUUAAGUAAAAGUAUGAUAUAAGUGAAUACUGCUUGAAAAUCGUAACCGUGACGAUGAGCAAACACCAAGAAAUGGAGUGUCCACCGGCUGCCAACUUUGAUGCGGACGAAGACGAAUGGAAGAAAAUGAGCUUAACGUCAAAAGCAGCCUUCGUGGCCCGGAACGUGUCGGUAGAACCGAUGCUGGGCGUGUUCCAGCUUUCCAUGAUCAUGUCCAGUUUGACCACACAAAAUCUGAACAUGCAAAAGGCUUGCCGAGUGAACUUAAAUCUGGACCAGACGGUGUGCUUUGCCCUGGAGAACAAAAACGCCACAUCUUUCCCGGCCGAAGAGGUGGCAGUGCAGAAAAUGGUGACCAAGAUGAUGUUAUGGCAAAACCUCUUCCAGAACAUAAUACCGUGUGUUCUGGUGAUGUUCGUCGGUUCGUGGAGCGACCGGAACCGGAAGCGGAAGCCGUUCAUGCUGUUGCCAAUAAUCGGCGAGCUUGUGCGCAAUAUCGGCUUAAUUGCUUGCGUGUACUUCUUCUACGAGUUGCCGAUGGAGAUAGCAGGUAUUGUCGAGACAGUCCCAUCUGCUGUUUCCGGUGGUCUUCCGGUACUGAUACUAGCCGUGUUCGCGUACGUGGGGGAUAUAAGCACAGUUAAAAAUAGGACAGUUCGAGUUGGGUUUGUAAGUUUAUUUUUUUCGAUCAGUGUCACUUUUGGAUCAGCAUUAUCCGGCAUCGUGUUUCGAGAUUAUGGUUUUUACGGCGUGUACAUUAUAUCCACUGCAUUGUAUUUAUUCAGCUUCAUAUAUUGUUUAAUUGUCAUCAAAGAUAUUAAGCCCGAUGUAGAAAAAUGUCAUGGGCCCCAUAUUGCCGUUGAACAUUGCAAAAAAUCAUUUAUUCUCGAGAUAACCGAUUUCUUUGACUUGAAACAUGUAAAAGAAGCGAUUCGAGUUACCUUUAAGCGAAGAAAUGACGAUAACCGAAGAAACGACAUUAUACUGUUGUUCGUUAUCAUGGUCAUUAUUUUGGGUCCUCUGAGCGGUGAACAGACAUUGAUGUAUUUGUUGGUUCGAGUUAAAUUCGGUUGGAAUGAAGUAGACUUCAGUGUCUUCUCUACGUAUUACUUUAUUUGUAAUCUCGUAGGUAUUGGAUUUUCGUUGUGGAUUCUGGUUAAUCGUUUGGGCAUUGACGACAGACUGAUCGGAGCAAUUGGAUGUCUGAGCAAAGGACUGGCUUCCUUCGUUUACGCCUUUGCGCCGACCGAAUUUUUAUUCUACCUAGGUCCGAUUGUCGACAUUUUUCACGGUACAGCACUUGUUGCAUUUAGGGCGAUACUCUCAAAACUUGUUCCUGCAAAUCAACUAGGUCAAGCGUUGGCGGUAUCUUCACUCGUCGAAACUAUAAUUCCUGCAAUAUUUAGACCACUGUACAGUGUAAUUUAUUAUAAGACACUGCACAAUAUGCCUGGCGCAUUUUACGUAUUCGGAGGAGUGCUUAAUAUUUUCGGAAUCUUUGUUUUCAUAUGGAUGUACAAUCGUACACAACAGAAGAGCGUAAAAACGAAUGAUUCAGAAAUGCCAAAGUUGCAAAAAUGAUUUAACUCUAAAGUUUCACGUCACAAUGGAUACCCGCAAGAUUUUUAUACUUCCCUUAAUGUGAAAUAUAUAUAUAUUUUUGAUUAGAUCGAUGUACAAGAAAAAAAAACAAAAUGAAAAAUGUGAAUAUGUUGAAGAGAAACAGGCCUUAUCAGCAAAACCUAGAAGUGAGCAUCCAUAAAACCGCAUUGAAAUCUGUUAAAAUUAUUAAUAUUGUUUUUAAAUUAUUUUUACACGAAAAAUUGUUUUUAUUAAUUAUACUCUAUAAUAUAUUUUUAUUUUAUAUUAUUUUACUAGUAAAAUAUACUAUAUUUACUACUGCCAACCUAUUUUACUUGUAUAUUAUAAUUUAUAUUAGCUAAGUUUUACUUAUUACUGGAACCUAUUUUAGAGUGUUCAAAUUAAACUCUGUUGAGUGAGAAAACACGGUAAUUCUGCACAUUCUUACGUGAUAUUCCCCCAUUGAUAUCAGUUGCACUAUUGCAGGAUGUCUCGUGAGAAUGCGCAAAAAACCGAUUUUUUAUCUCGAUGGAGUAUAGACUACUUUAUGUAUUUCUUUUGGAAUAUUUUAUAAUUAUUAAAUUGGUACGGUUAUCAUAUAUUGUUAUUGUUAUAAAUAGAAACGCUUUAUGUAUAUUCAUAUAUUUUUUUUUAAAUUAAUAUAAGUUAUAUUAUAUAACCAUUUAUUAAAAAUAUAUUGAUAUUACAAAUA